rnacentral:tRNA from 14 species
GGCCAGGUAGCUCAGUCGGUACGAGCGUCCGCCUGAAAAGCGGAAGGUCGCCGGUUCGAUCCCGGCCCUGGCCACCA